rnacentral:rRNA from 1 species
GACGAACGCUGGCGGCGUGCUUAACACAUGCAAGUCGAACGGAAAGGCCCUGCUUUUGUGGGGUGCUCGAGUGGCGAACGGGUGAGUAACACGUGAGUAACCUGCCCUUGACUUUGGGAUCACUUCAGGAAACUGGGGCUAAUACCGGAUAGGAGCUCCUGCUGCAUGGUGGGGGUUGGAAAGUUUCGGCGGUUGGGGAUGGACUCGCGGCUUAUCAGCUUGUUGGUGGGGUAGUGGCUUACCAAGGCUUUGACGGGUAGCCGGCCUGAGAGGGUGACCGGCCACAUUGGGACUGAGAUAAGGCCCAGACUCCGACGGGAGGCAGCAGUGGGGAAUAGUGCACAAUGGGCGGAAGCCUGAUGCAGCAACGCCGCGUGCGGGAUGACGGCAAUCGGGUUGUAAACCGCUUUCGCCUGUGACGAAGCGUGAGUGACGGUAAUGGGUAAAGAAGCACCGGCUAACUACGUG